rnacentral:rRNA from 1 species
CCUACGUGAGGCAGCAGUGGGGAAUAUUGGACAAUGGGGGGAACCCUGAUCCAGCGACGCCGCGUGAGUGAAGAAGUAUUUCGGUAUGUAAAGCUCUAUCAGCAGGGAAGAAAGAAAUGACGGUACCUGACUAAGAAGCCCCGGCUAACUACGUGCCAGCAGCCGCGGUAAUACGUAGGGGGCAAGCGUUAUCCGGAUUUACUGGGUGUAAAGGGAGCGUAGACGGCGAUGCAAGUCUGAAGUGAAAGGCGGGGGCCCAACCUCCGGAGUGCUUUGGAAACUGUAUGGCUGGAGUGCAGGAGAGGUAAGUGGAAUUCCUAGUGUAGCGGUGAAAUGCGUAGAUAUUAGGAGGAACACCAGUGGCGAAGGCGGCUUACUGGACUGUAACUGACGUUGAGGCUCGAAAGCGUGGGGAGCAAACAGGAUUAGAUACCCGGGUAGUC